ACAAUUGUGGCUGAGUGGUUAAAGCGAUGGACUAGAAAUUCAAUGGGGUCUCCCCGCACAGGUUCGAAUCCUGUCGACUGCG
rnacentral:tRNA from 1 species